AUUGAACGCUGGCGGCAUGCCUUACACAUGCAAGUCGAACGGCAGCACGGGUGCUUGCACCUGGUGGCGAGUGGCGAACGGGUGAGUAAUACAUCGGAACAUGUCCUGUAGUGGGGGAUAGCCCGGCGGAAGCCGGAGUAAUACCGCAUACGAUCUACGGAUGAAAGCGGGGGACCUUCGGGCCUCGCGCUAUAGGGUUGGCCGAUAGCUGAUUAGCUAGUUGGUGGGGUAAAGGCCUACCAAGGCGACGAUCAGUAGCUGGUCUGAGAGGACGACCAGCCACACUGGGACUGAGACACGGCCCAGACUCCUACGGGAGGCAGCAGUGGGGAAUUUUGGACAAUGGGCGAAAGCCUGAUCCAGCAAUGCCGCGUGUGUGAAGAAGGCCUUCGGGUUGUAAAGCACUUUUGUCCGGAAAGAAAUCCUUGGCUCUAAUACAGUCGGGGGAUGACGGUACCGGAAGAAUAAGCACCGGCUAACUACGUG
rnacentral:rRNA from 1 species